AGUUUUAAAAAUAGGGAGGAUUGCUGACAACGCACUGACAAAAUCCCGGGCAAAAUUUCCACUUCAGUCUCACUCAAUCACCCGUGCUGGGAACAGUUCCUCUCCUUGGGCUGGCAGCUUGCAUCUGUCAUUAAUCACUAGAUUCCGACUAUUCAUGCUUCUUCUGGGGCCCGUUCUCUGUUCUGGAAGUUUUCUUGGGCAAGAUUCAUUUUAAGAUGAUACUGGUUCCUAUUUGGCGUGCAGGAAAUAUACACUCUUGCAGCCUGCUCCUGAGACACCGUCUUUACUCACAGGUCCUGCCUGGGAACUCUGGCAUCGCAGUUUAGGAUGAGGAGACUUUUGACACCUCUCUUGAUAAUACUCACAAACAGAAACCUAAAGAUGUUUCACAGACUCCCUGGUUCCUUUUCCACUGUGGCUUUCCCCAGGAAGGGGAAUUUUCACUCCUCUCAGAAGACUCCAAAUGCCAGACAGAGUCUCGCUCUGUUGCCAGUCUGGAGUGCAGUGGUGUGAUCUCGGCUCACCGCAAGCUCCGCCUCCCAGGUUCAAGCCAUUCCCUUGCCUCAGCCUCCGGAGUAGCUGGAAUUACAGGAAACCUAUUGUGUGGCAAAUACGCCAACACUGCUGAAAUCUCGGAGUAAAAUUACAAGAAAAAAAGAGGAAACACCCUAAGCCUAAACCACAUGCUUGAGGUUUCAUUUUAAAAUAGGCAGAUCCUAUUCUAAUUUUUCUCCAAGUCACAUGCAAUAUUUUUCUAGAAGUGCAUUUUGCUUUUUACUUUUCAGGUUGGAGAUUGUUUUUUUCCAUCUGGCUUUUCCGCUUUCAACUUCGUUACAAAACUCAAGUCAACAUUUUCACAGCUUGUCAGUGGAAACCUGAUUAUGCCUCCUCAUCCCAAGAAGAAAAAAUAAAAUUGACUUGAAUAGAGGACAAGAUGGUACAGAAAA